UAACUGAGUGGGUGGAGUCUAGGAAAACAGUGACAAUCAGUCCUCCGGCUUAUCCUCAGAUCUACUUCCUGCAGGCUCAGUCACUGUGGUUCAGUAUUAAAUAGAAAAUUCCAGAAACAAACAAUCCACAAGUUUGACUAUGUAGCUACAGCCCUGGAGCAGUGAAUAUGGAUGACAGGAAAGACAAAGAGCUGAGACCAGUGGAGUUCAAAACAUUCUCUCUGGAAAUGCUCGAGCUCCUUUGCUUCGAAGGGUGGUAUUAAGCAUCAAAGAUAAACAGGCUAGAAACAUAUGGAUUGAAUUUUCCAUGAAAUGCAUGAGUUUUGAUAUAAAGGGGACACGUCCUUCAAAAAGAUAAUUUGGCCUCUACAAAACCAGCAUAUUUAAGAACUCCUUCCAUAGACUUUGGCAAAAGCAAGACCCACUGGACUCCUCCAGCCCCAGCAGCUUCCCCUUCAGUCCGUACCCCUGGCAGCCGGGCCAAAUGAAAUAGAGAACUCAGCAUCCUCCGAGGGGGCUGUCUGCCAGCCUCAACCCUGGAGAUAUGGUCAAGGGCUUCCAGCUGGUCCUUGGAGCCAAGAGUACAAUUUAAAAAUGCUGCAGUCGCUUAGCAUGUCUGCUCCGGGUUACUUGGAGAGACAGUCGUGUGGGAGCUGCCAGGCUGAGAACAGGAUCCAUGCCGUCAACUAUUUGCAAAAGCUCAGCUUCCUUCUGCUGGGGCCAGCCUCUUCCCACCCCAGACAGUCUGCUCGAGGACAAAAAAACAAGGACAAUCGUCAAGUUAAGAGUGCUCCCUAAGAAAGUAUGGCAGGUGGCAAGAAAGAUUCUUGGCCACUGAGUUCCAGCCAAAACAUUCGGCGUUCUUCCUCCUGGGGGAGGCACUGGGAGCCCGUGGUGA